UUUGGACGAUAUGUUAUUUUCUACAACGAAAGAGUUCCUGGUGUGACGUAUCCUGGCGAUCAGAAAGAAACAUAUACACAGCUGUGUGAAGUAAUAGUUCAAGGUUGUGACAAGGAUGGUGUCUAUGGAAGUAACUGCAAUGAAACCUGUCCUUCAAACUGUCAAGAGAGAAGAUGCUACGUAACUAAUGGAACUUGUGCUGCUGGAUGUGAAGACGGUUGGAUUGGGGAAAAGUGUCUUGAUGCUUGUCCAGCUGGAUUUUACGGAGCUGAAUGUAACAGAACAUGUUCAGACCGAUGUAAAAAUUCUUUUUGUAAUCACACGACUGGUGAUUGUGAG